rnacentral:rRNA from 1 species
GGGUGAGUAAUAUAUCGGAACGUGCCCAGUCGUGGGGGAUAACGCAGCGAAAGCUGUGCUAAUACCGCAUACGAUCUCUGGAUGAAAGCGGGGGACUCGCAAGAGCCUCGCGCGAUUGGAGCGGCCGAUAUCAGAUUAGCUAGUUGGCGGGGUAAAAGCCCACCAAGGCGACGAUCUGUAGCUGGUCUGAGAGGACGACCAGCCACACUGGAACUGAGACACGGUCCAGACUCCUACGGGAGGCAGCAGUGGGGAAUUUUGGACAAUGGGCGAAAGCCUGAUCCAGCAAUGCCGCGUGCAGGAUGAAGGCCUUCGGGUUGUAAACUGCUUUUGUACGGAACGAAACGGUCUGCCUUAAUACGGUGGGCUAAUGACGGUACCGUAAGAAUAAGCACCGGCUAACUACGUGCCAGCAGCCGCGGUAAUACGUAGGGUGCGAGCGUUAAUCGGAAUUACUGGGCGUAAAGCGUGCGCAGGCGGUUAUAUAAGACAGAUGUGAAAUCCCCGGGCUCAACCUGGGACCUGCAUUUGUGACUGUAUAGCUAGAGUACGGUAGAGGGGGAUGGAAUUCCGCGUGUAGCAGUGAAAUACGUAGAUAUGCGGAGGAACACCGAUGGCGAAGGCAAUCCCCUGGACCUGUACUGACGC